rnacentral:rRNA from 1 species
GACGAACGCUGGCGGCGUGCUUAACACAUGCAAGUCGAACGGGCCUUGUCCCCUUUUUUUUGGGGGUGGGGUUAGUGGCGAACGGGUGAGUAACACGUGAGUAACCUGCCCCUCACUUCUGGAUAACCGCUUGAAAGGGUGGCUAAUACGGGGUGUUCUGGCCUGCUCGCAUGGGUGGGUUUGGAAAGAUUCGACCGGUUUUGGUUGUUUUGGUGGGGGAUGGCUCGCGGCCUAUCAGCUUGUUGGUGGGGUGAUGGCCUGCCAAGGCUUUGACGGGUAGCCGGCCUGAGAGGGUGGGCGGUCACACUGGGACUGAGACACGGCCCAGACUCCUACGGGAGGCAGCAGUGGGGAAUAUUGCACAAUGGGCGCAAGCCUGAUGCAGCGACGCCGCGUGAGGGAUGGAGGCCUUCGGGUUGUGAACCUCUUUCGCCAGUGAAGAAGGUCCUGCUCUUUGUGGUGGGGUUGACGGUAGCUGGGUUAAUGAAGCGCCGGCUAACUACGUG